CGUGAGAUGUUGGGUUAAGUCCCGCAACGAGCGCAACCCUUGUCCCUAGUUGCCAGCAUUCAGUUGGGCACUCCAGGGAGACCGCCGGUGACAAACCGGAGGAAGGUGGGGAUGACGUCAAGUCAUCAUGGCCUUUAUGGCCAGGGCUACACACGUGCUACAAUGGCAGUACAGAGGGAAGCCAACCGGCGACGGGGAGCCAAUCCCAGAAAACUUGUCGUAGUCCGGAUUGGAGUCUGCAACUCGACUCCA
rnacentral:rRNA from 1 species